AUUGAACGCUGGCGGAAUGCUUUACACAUGCAAGUCGAACGGCAGCACGGACUUCGGUCUGGUGGCGAGUGGCGAACGGGUGAGUAAUGUAUCGGAACGUGCCCAGUCGUGGGGGAUAACGUAGUGAAAAUUACGCUAAUACCGCAUACGAUCUAUGGAUGAAAGCGGGGGAUCGCAAGACCUCGCGCGAUUGGAGCGGCCGAUAUCAGAUUAGGUAGUUGGUGGGGUAAAGGCCCACCAAGCCAACGAUCUGUAGCUGGUCUGAGAGGACGACCAGCCACACUGGGACUGAGACACGGUCCAGACUCCUACGGGAGGCAGCAGUGGGGAAUUUUGGACAAUGGGCGAAAGCCUGAUCCAGCCAUUCCGCGUGCAGGAUGAAGGCCCUCGGGUUGUAAACUGCUUUUGUACAGAACGAAAAGGUUUCUACUAAUACUAGGAGCUCAGACGGUACUGUAAGAAUAAGUACCGGCUAACUACGUGCCAGCAGCCGCCGUAA
rnacentral:rRNA from 1 species